rnacentral:rRNA from 1 species
AUUGAACGCUGGCGGCAGGCCUAACACAUGCAAGUCGAACGGUAACAGGAAACAGCUUGCUGUUUCGCUGACGAGUGGCGGACGGGUGAGUAAUGUCUGGGAAACUGCCUGAUGGAGGGGGAUAACUACUGGAAACGGUAGCUAAUACCGCAUAACGUCGCAAGCCCAAAGAGGGGGACCUUCGGGCCUCUUGCCAUCGGAUGUGCCCAGAUGGGAUUAGCUAGUAGGUGGGGUAACGGCUCACCUAGGCGACGAUCCCUAGCUGGUCUGAGAGGAUGACCAGCCACACUGGAACUGAGACACGGUCCAGACUCCUACGGGAGGCAGCAGUGGGGAAUAUUGCACAAUGGGCGCAAGCCUGAUGCAGCCAUGCCGCGUGUAUGAAGAAGGCCUUCGGGUUGUAAAGUACUUUCAGCGGGGAGGAAGGGAGUAAAGUUAAUACCUUGACUCAUUGACGUUACCCGCAGAAGAAGCACCGGCUAACUCCGUG